rnacentral:rRNA from 1 species
CGUACACUCCUGCGGGAGGCAUCAGUGGGGAAUAUUGGACAAUGGGCGCAAGCCUGAUCCAGCCAUGCCGCGUGAGUGAUGAAGGCCCUAGGGUUGUAAAGCUCUUUCACCGGUGAAGAUAAUGACGGUAACCGGAGAAGAAGCCCCGGCUAACUUCGUGCCAGCAGCCGCGGUAAUACGAAGGGGGCUAGCGUUGUUCGGAUUUACUGGGCGUAAAGCGCACGUAGGCGGACUAUUAAGUCAGGGGUGAAAUCCCGGGGCUCAACCCCGGAACUGCCUUUGAUACUGGUAGUCUUGAGUUCGAGAGAGGUGAGUGGAAUUCCGAGUGUAGAGGUGAAAUUCGUAGAUAUUCGGAGGAACACCAGUGGCGAAGGCGGCUCACUGGCUCGAUACUGACGCUGAGGUGCGAAAGCGUGGGGAGCAAACAGGAUUAGAAACCCCUGUAGUCCCAUG